UAAAAUAUAAGCAUUUUAGGUUCGAUUAAGUAAUAAAAGUUACUUAGGAUUAAUAGGGAAAGUGGUUUAAAUCCACUACAGCCCCCGCUACUGUAAAUGGUACUAAUUCUUUAAGGAACAUGAAAAUAAAUAAACUAGAAUACUGACUAGUUAUUUAUUUGAAUGUGACUAACAUCCACUGAGUUUAUACUUGGGAAGGUAAAGAAUAUAUUAGGAUGACCCAUAAGUCAGGAGACCUGCCUAGAAUUUAUGCUAUCU
rnacentral:ncRNA from 2 species